rnacentral:rRNA from 1 species
UACGAAGGGGGGCUAGCGUUGUUCGGAAUUACUGGGCGUAAAGCGUGCGCAGGCGGCUUCUCAAGUCAGGGGUGAAAGCCCAGAGCUCAACUCUGGAAUUGCCUUUGAGACUGAGUGGCUUGAGUACGAGAGAGGUGAGUGGAAUUCCCAGUGUAGAGGUGAAAUUCGUAGAUAUUGGGAAGAACACCGGUGGCGAAGGCGGGUCUCUGGGCAAUAACUGACGCUGAGGAGCGAAAGCGUGGGGAGCGAACAGG